rnacentral:rRNA from 1 species
UACGUAGGGUGCAAGCGUUAAUCGGAAUUACUGGGCGUAAAGCGUGCGCAGGCGGUUGUGCAAGACCGACGUGAAAUCCCCGGGCUUAACCUGGGAAUGGCAUUGGUGACUGUACGGCUAGAGUGUGUCAGAGGGGGGUAGAAUUCCACGUGUAGCAGUGAAAUGCGUAGAGAUGUGGAGGAAUACCGAUGGCGAAGGCAGCCCCCUGGGAUAACACUGACGCUCAUGCACGAAAGCGUGGGGAGCAAACAGG